AGUGAUGUGGAAUACACCGAGGCGAUGCGAUAUCGCAGGACGAUCAGGGAUCAUCACACUACACUGCUACGAAGUUAUGUUCGAAGAUGUGGCUAGCCGUGGACACAUUCCUGAGACCAAGUAUAUCGAACUGACAAUUGGAUCCACGCAAACCGCUGUCUGCUUCCCCAUCGCAGCUAGACUUCUACGUAGAUGAGCAGGGUGGUGAUACGCAGGUUCUCACAUUGAUCAAUGCCAGCCAACACCCGUUGUGCUUUCAGUUUACGCCGAAAGAGCUGGGGCGGUACAUUGUCAUAGUGCGAGCAGGGAUCAUCUCACCACACUGCUACGACGACAUGUUUGAGGAGGCGGCUGGCGGUGAAGACAUUCCUGAGACCAAGUAUAUCGAACAGGAAUCGGAUCCACACAAACCGGUGUCUGUCUCCCCAUUGCAGCUAGACUUCUACGUAGAUGAGUGGGGUGCCGAUACGAAGAUGCUCACCUUGUUCGAUGUUAGUCAACAUCCGGUGCACAUCCAGUAUUGGUGCAUUACUUUGAUCUGUAUGAAGAAAUUGUGGGCACCGGAGUCAACGUACGCGUAGCCAUGCGCAAGCAAAGGGGCCACAACCUUGGGUUCAGAGAUGUGCCUGUGAUUCUAUGGUCAAAGCGCACAAUCUCUGAUGAUGGCAGCGAACAGAACGAUGGAGGAGACUACACU